AUUAUUUUUUUCCUUUUUCAGCUGACGAUGGCAAUGUAUUCGAUGAUGCUGCCAGCGUUGCUAAUAACUUUUUAGGAUUAAAUUAGAAGCACCGAUUUCACGACUGACAAAGAACAUAGUGAUGAUAAAAUUGCAAUAUGAGUGCAAUGAUUAAGUUUAAAAAUAUUUUUGAUUAAAAUAAUUAAUUAAAACUUCUCUGUGUAUUUCUAAGUGCUCAUUUAAGUACAAAAAGUGCAAAAAAAUAAAUAUAAUUAAAAAUA